GUCACUUACUGUGCAUUUCCCACAAUGCCUUCUUGAGGAUUUCUGCUGUGCAGUGCUCAGGUUACAGCUGUAUUCCAAAUUCUAGGGAAACUAUAGUGCUAAGAAAACAAAGCUGUAUUACUAGAACUAUACUACCCUUUAGGUCCCCACUCCCUCAUGUCCUGAAGCAGUGUAAGAGCUAACAAACCCGAUUACAGCAAAGAUGUAUCGGCGCUCUGUCAACUUCAACUUUACACAACGUGGGAGUGACAGGCAUGCGCAGCCUAUUGCAUUAGGGUGUGCACCCUAAAGGACAAAC